GAUAAACCAAAACUUCUCAGUCAGGUAGCUGAUCUCUACCUUUUAUAGCUAUAGUUAUUUUCGCUAGUUUCUUAAUCAUGUGUGGAUGGAAUCGUUGUAUUCAUCUUAAUGCGCAUGUUGCUGAUAUUUAGUAAUUAUUAUCACAUCUUAAUGAACAUGUUUUGCAUAUAGACAUAGGAAUAGUCCUUGAUGUUUUUGGAGCAUCUGAUCUUAGAUUUGAAUUUUUGGACAAGGACUAUGUAGUGAGAGUGUAAGAUUAAACAUUAUGGUUUUGAAGGAUAUACUCUAAAUAUUUCUUUUUGGUGUUCACAAUGUGUUGGUCUAGUGAGGAAGUCCUGCAGGACCUACUUUAAAACACUUUGAUGGAAUUGUUCAAUUGUUGAAUAGGCUUUUUCUAUAGACCAAGAUUGCAUCUCACCUGAAAUGAAUCUUGGGUUGACUUGCCAUUUAUGAGAAAAGUUUUGAUUUUAAUGAAGUUUGAAAUCUACUGAGGCUCCCAGGCACAGGAGGUAGCCACUCGCAAAUGUUCUGAUCCUUCUGGAAAAGAAAUAACAGUUGCUUCACUGUCAUUGCAGUCAAGUUUUUCCUCUAUCCCUCGACU
rnacentral:misc_RNA from 1 species